CAUAUCUCACGUGAUCCUCUCGUGACUUUGGAGCUGGUCAGACCUAUUCCAAAACUCAUUCCUCCGCCGCACACCUCUGUUUUGGUGUUUGUAAAGUUUGUAACUUUUUCUGGUUAUUGACUAAAGAAACUGAGUUGUAUUCUUGUUUGUAGAGUUUAAGCUUUGGUGAUUGAUGAUGAGGAAGGAGAAGUUGUAGUUGGGUUAUUUGAAUGUUUAAAAUUGAAGAGAAGGGAUUAGUAAGAUGGCUUAUAAAGCAGGGUGAAUGAGCUCUACACUUCAUUGGACUUUUUUAUAAGCCUAUCUUACUAAGUUCUUCUUCUUCUUCUCUUUUAUGUUGGGAUCAUAACAGUUUUUAAGGAAUGCUCUCAUGAUGUUAUUACUCUAUAAGGACACUUUGGUUUAUGAUGAACUCCUCAUCUUUGGACAAGAAGUGGAGUAUAGAAUGUGGGAUCAGUUUUAAGGAAUGUCUCAGACUCUCAGGCUGCUUUUUAUCAGGUAGUCUUUAUCUUUUCUCCCACUUUUCAACAGCUCUGAAAUCCUUUUUUGGAGGAUAGAAUUGGAGGCUUUCCUGUGAUAAAUGGCGAUUGGAAAUUUCAUGCUAUACUUUGAUGUUCAGGUUACAGAUUCUGCCUGCUGGUUGGGGUUGUUUCAUUGUUUUGCUUUUGUUUUGAUUUAGAGUUGAACUAUAGAGCUACUUACUAGGUAUACAUUUGGUUGUAUCCUGUAAGUUGCGGAAACCUUCUUUCUUAUUCGUUGUCGAAGAGUAUGCUCACUGUAGACAGUAGAAGUUUUGGCUUUGUUACUAGACAAUGAAAGAAUUGAGAGCUGAAUGAUUUCUUAUAGUAUCAUCAUAUUGUUUGUCAUUGGCAUUUAACUAGGUUGCUUCUCAGGCGAUGGAUAUGAGAUAGUAUGGAAUGAAAUCUUGAUUCAGUAUGACUUUCACUCUAAUCUAGUUGACUAUCAUGCUAGAGUUAUGACCAUAUAUCGUAAUGAAUGUUUGUGUUAAGGGUUUUGUUAAAACUACAGUUGAUACCAGAUCAAUUUUCGAUUUGGCGUGAGUCAAAGAGCACUUGCAAUAUCUUCACUCUCUAGUCAAGUAGACCCUGAUGAACCAUUUUCAUGACUUUCAAAUGCAGUGUUAAAGCUACUCAACAAGAACAAUGAGGGAAAGUUUUUAGAGAUCUGGUGACACCCAUCUCUAGUAGAAGACGCUACUUAGCUAUUUGUUAUACCCUUUCUAUGUGCCCUUGUUUGUUCUCUUUCUAAUUAUUGUGGAGCCAAGUAAUAUUUAGAAGCUUCCAAGAACUUAGGGGAUGCGGUGGUAGCCAGGAUUCCUUUAUUAAAAACUGUGUGAGUGAGUGCACUUCUCUCUGUCUUUGUGCAGAACCAGAAUCAGCUUCUGUGUUAUUGAUGGGUUAGGUUACCAGAUGCUUUGGGUAUUUGAUUCU